GACGAACGCUGGCGGCGUGCCUAACACAUGCAAGUCGAGCGGGGUUGAGGCGAGAGGUAACUCGAGCUUCUACCUAGCGGCGGACGGGUGAGUAACGCGUGGGCAACCUGCCUCAAGGUUUGGGAUAACAGCCCGAAAGGGCUGCUAAUACCGGAUAUGCCUAUGGCCUCGCAUGGGGCUAUGAGCAAAGGGGAAACCCGCCUUGAGAUGGGCCCGCGUCCCAUCAGCUAGUUGGUGAGGUAACAGCUCACCAAGGCGACGACGGGUAGCCGGCCUGAGAGGGUGACCGGCCACACUGGGACUGAGACACGGCCCAGACUCCUACGGGGGGCAGCAGUGGGGGAUCUUGCACAAUGGGCGAAAGCCUGAUGCAGCGACGCCGCGUGAGCGAAGAAGGCCUUCGGGUUGUAAAGCUCUGUCUGGAGGGACGAACAAAAUGACGGUACCUCCGGAGGAAGCCACGGCUAACUACGUGCCAGCAGCCGCGGUAAAAGUGUGUGUACG
rnacentral:rRNA from 1 species